rnacentral:snoRNA from 1 species
GUGAGGUGAUGACGAAGUCUAUCCAUUCUCUGAGUGCAAUGGUGCUGCCCUCCUGCAGCACCCUGAUUCCUGUUCUAGGAUAUGGGUGCUGUGCAGCCUGCAGAUACCCUCCAGUCUCCCAGUGUCCUACUCGGGGCUGCUGUGGUGUGUGGCUGGCUGCCUGCAGGAGUGAAGUGCUGGCAGGGUUGGAGCCCCUCUUUGGAGGGACUCCAUCCUCAUUGAGAUGAGGGACAAUGUCUGAUCAC